rnacentral:rRNA from 1 species
AUGUACUCAAGUUUAUCCGAAGUAUCCCAAUGGUGUAAGACCGUCGACUAUUUGGGAAAAAGGAGGAAAAUCACUCUGAUCUCUGAUUUCGGAGAAAUAAGUGGCUCACGAGGAAUGGAGAGACAGAUUCUCUAUUUGAUCUCGAAGUCCUCAUAUAACACUUCUUCCAGUCGGAUCACUUGUUGGAAAAACAUAAUGCUCACACAUGUUCCACGGGCAAGGAAGCAUAAUAUCAUGAAAGCCGUCUGA